rnacentral:lncRNA from 1 species
GAAUGUAGUAGUUACCGGCCCUGUGCAUCCUUCCCUCUCAAAUCAGAAACUUGAGUAAGUGCAUCCUUCCAUCUCUUCAUCCUCUCACCCAAUCGACCUUUUUCCUCCACAUUUGUCUCCGCCUCCAUCUUCAGUUUAUGCUUUUCCAUUGCUUCUCCGAAGCUGCUUUGCUGCUUCCUCACAUGGGUGGGCUCCACAUGAUAGAAAACAGGGAUGACGAUUUGGUUGGAGUUAUUCUUUUGGUCAAGGAUUAGUGCCAGUUCCUCAAGACACCAUGUUGAAGAAGCGUAAUUCUCAGACAACACGAUAACGGAAGCCCUCGAUGCUUUAAUUGCACUCUCUAAUUCUGGUUUCAAAAAUUCUCCGGUUGGAAUCUCUUCGUCGUCCAAAAAGGUUGUGAGGUUAGCUUUCACGAGGGCGGUGUAGAGGUGACUGGUGAAGCUAAGACGGGUGUCAAAGCCUCUAAAACUUAUAAACACGUCGUACUUAUAACGAUGAUUGUAACUUGUUGAUGGCGGAUCAGAAGAUGAAGAUGCUUCACCAACUUCCGUGAGAGAAACCAUUAUGAAUACAGGAAGCUAUGAUUGAGAGAUGAGGACGAUUUAGUAUUUUCCUACAGAGAGUAUCAGAACAAGAAACUGGUUAGUUAGUAUUUUCCAAAAUGAUUUCUGUCUUUUUCCAUACAUAUUAUUAAGGUCGUUUUAGUCUUUGCUCUCUUAAAAUCAAGGAAAAAAGUACCAUUAUGAUCGUAAAUGCAUAUCUAAACACAGGCAAUAUUCGAUAUAGAAACAAACAAGAAAAUCCAUAUCCAAAACAAAAUCUUACUUGGUGUUAG